ensembl:lncRNA
CCAAUUUCUCAUUGGUAACUCAUAGCUGAAAGAAUGGUGAGGUUGUUUUUUGUUUUUUCCCCUUUACCUGGGGAUAUCCAACUAUUCUAAAGAAAUGUGGACUUAAUUAAUAAGAAGGGAAUACUUACUAGCCAAUUUAUAGUUCUCUCAUCUCAUUUUAUAUGAGAAAAUUAUUAUAGAAAAUUUAAGCAACUUUGCAGACAUUCCUCAAUCCAGGAAACGGUGAAGCUGGAAGUUUGCUCUACUCGCUAGAGCACCUGUCUUGAGAGAGAGAAAGAGCAAGGAAAAAGGAUGAAGCUUCAGGCAGACAAUGUUUUUACUUGUUAAUAAUAAUCAGAAAUGAAAAGGAGGAAAAGUAGAGAAUUAAGAAGGGAGAUCAUGAACUCCUUAUUGCUGAAUUCAGACUUAUAUUGAAGAAAGUGGGGAAACCACUGGACAAUUCAGAAGAACUCUUCUGACCUCUGGUAGCUGAAAGACCACAGAACUUAAACAUAAAAAGAUAAGUGAAAAUAUAAGAUUUUUAAUGUGUCAAAUGAGAGACAGUGACUGUAAAGAAAUAUGUAGGGGCAAAUGGAGGAAGACAUCUCAAGGGAAGUAGGAUUCAAGCUGUGCCUUGAGGUUGGCUAGGUAGGAGACAGAAGCAGGGGACAAGACACCAAAGACAAAAAGAGACAUGUAAAUGUUAUAUUUAAGAAACAGUGAGUGGUGACUAGAUAAGAAACUUCACUUAGAAGGGUGUUAACAUGGAGGGUGAAUGGGCAAGAUUGUCAAGACUCCUGGGUGCUAAGUGUUAGGGAUUGACUGUUUAUCCAUUCCAUCUCCCCAUCCAAAUCAACACUCCGCCCUCCCAAGGUGACUGUAUUAGGAGGUGGGUUUUUUGAGGUAUAAUUAGGAUUAGAAGAGAUUAUGGGAGUGCAUCUGGCAUGAGUGGGAAGAGUGCCCUGAGAAGAGUCAGCAGAGAGUUGAUUGCUUCUCUCUGUUCUCUGCCACAUCAGGAUACAGGGAAAGCUUGGCAGUCUGCAACCCACAAGAGGGCCCUUACAGGAACCUAACCAGGCUGCACUCUGAACUUGGACUUCCAGCCUCCAGACUGUGCAGUUUUGAAUGAAUUCUUCUGAGAAAGGCCUCAUUUUAUAGAAUUCAUGCCCUUCAUCCUUCAGAAACCUUCCAAGUCACAUCCAUGGCCUUAUUAAGCUCAAGUUUGAGUCAAUUCACUGUCACUAAACCAUUCGACUGCAAGCUCCAAGAGUGGUGUUGGAGAAGACUCCUGAGAGUCUUUUGGACAGCAGGGAGAUGAAACCAGUGAAUCUUAAGGGAAAUCAACCCUGAAUACUCAUUGGAAGGACUGAUGCUGAAGCUGAAGCUGAACCUGAUGCAAACAGCUGACUCUCUGGAAAAGUCCUUGAUGAUGGGAAGAUUGAGGGCAGAAGGAGGAGAGGGCAUCAAAGGAUGAGCUGGCUGCUGGCAUCACUGAUGCAAUAGAUAUGAGCGUGGGCAAACUUUGGGAGAUGGUGAGGGACAGGGAGGCCUGGCGUGCUGCAGUCCCUGGGGUCACAGAAAGUCAGACAUCACUAGGCGAUUGAACAACAAUUCUAAUCUCUAUUAACAAUAUGUGCUAAUUUUUUGAAGGUACUUUUGCUCUUAUUAUGUGACAGACUACAUAUUUUAAAAUUUAC